UAUUGAAUGCAUCCUUAAUAGAAUAAAGCCUUCCUCCUAAUUAUCAUGAAUGUUAUUUUCACAAUUCUCUAUUUCUUUAUCUUAAAUUCUAAGCUUAGAUACUUUGAUUACCAACUUUCAAAUAAUUUAGUAGAGCGAAGAAGAUGAUCCCAAUGCAUUAUGAAUUUGGAAGCCAGGUAACUAUAUACUAAUUUCCGUGUUUUACAAAAUAUCAAGUAAAAUAAAAGCAUCAUAAUAAUGGUCUUGUAUUCAAUAUUCAAAUUCUAAAAUUCAAUAUUUCAUUGAACUAAACACUAAGGUAGUCAUGCUAUGGUUUUUGAUAAAUCAGGAGUAUUGUGGCAACUUUGGUAUAUAUUAAGAAUAAGAUUUUUAGCAUUAGAGAAUCAGCAAGUCUGAAAUUCAUCUCUUUUCUUCUUAAUGCAAAGGCUGGUGCUUUGACUUGACUCUACACUUCUUUCCAAGUACCACAAGAAGUAUUUGUUUCUGUCAUCAUUCAUUGGAUGUGAGCAGAAGCAGUAUAAUGACAGUAGCCACUCCACAAGAUGUUCUACCAAUUAAUGUUAGAUGUUUAUAGUUCCUUGCUUGCUUAUGCCACGGAUGAACAAAACUCUUGAUUUUGUAUCUCAUUCCAAUGCCCUCAAAAUCAAUGUUGGAAAGGUUUCCAGGCAGCAUUGAUGUUGAUUCAAGAAUGUCUAAUUCGAAAGACUUGAUGGUUAGAGAGCUGCAUAGUGUAAAGUAAUAGCCGAUUGCCAAAAGUGAUUUGAUGGAGAAUUGUGUGGCUAAGGGAAAAAUAGAUGAGAAAGUGACCACCUUAAUUUAAAUGAACAAUGAGGCAUAGUUAUGGUGUUUUAACGACUUGAUGUGCCUCCAGUCUCCGCAGAAAGUUCAUACUUGGUGAGAUUGUUUCUCCUUAGCAUGUUUUAUAAGGUGAUUAUUGUUGUUAGAAAUUUAGCUUUUUAUUAAUAACUUCACGUCAUAUAGUUUACUUGUACUAGAGAAGACUUCUGUAAUCCUAUUAUUUUGAGUAGUGGAAGAAUUUGAACGGACUUGGUCCCGUGGUUUUUCCCCUUACCGAGGGGUUUUCCACGUAAAA